GUUGAAUUUCGGGACCAUCAUGUCGGUCGUGCCUCGGUACGUACUGGCAUUGUUGGUUUCUACCUUCUGACGAACCAUGAUGUCAUUUAUUUGGUGUCGUGGGAAAUCAGGACUGUUACUUUGAAAAAAUUAGAGUGUUUAAAGCAGGCUCACGCUUGAAUACAUUAGCAUGGAAUAAUGAAAUAGGACGUUUGAUUCUAUUUUGUUGGUUUCUAGGAUCGACGUAAUGAUUAAUAGGGAUAGUUGGGGGCAUUAGUAUUCAAUUGUCAGAGGUGAAAUUCUUGGAUUUAUUGAAGACUAACUACUGCGAAAGCAUUUGCCAAGGAUGUUUUCAUUAAUCAAGAACGAAAGUUAGGGGAUCGAAGACGAUCAGAUACCGUCGUAGUCUUAACCAUAAACUAUGCCGACUAGGGAUCGGAUGAUGUUAAUUUUUUAAUGACUCAUUCGGCGCCUUACGGGAAACCAAAGUG
rnacentral:rRNA from 1 species